UUCUUUCCUCCCGAGUGCUUGCACUCAAUUGGAAAGAGGAGUGGCGGACGGGUGAGUAACACGUGGGUAACCUACCCAUCAGAGGGGGAUAACACUUGGAAACAGGUGCUAAUACCGCAUAACAGUUUAUGCCGCAUGGCAUAAGAGUGAAAGGCGCUUUCGGGUGUCGCUGAUGGAUGGACCCGCGGUGCAUUAGCUAGUUGGUGAGGUAACGGCUCACCAAGGCCACGAUGCAUAGCCGACCUGAGAGGGUGAUCGGCCACACUGGGACUGAGACACGGCCCAGACUCCUACGGGAGGCAGCAGUAGGGAAUCUUCGGCAAUGGACGAAAGUCUGACCGAGCAACGCCGCGUGAGUGAAGAAGGUUUUCGGAUCGUAAAACUCUGUUGUUAGAGAAGAACAAGGACGUUAGUAACUGAACGUCCCCUGACGGUAUCUAACCAGAAAGCCACGGCUAACUACGUGCCAGCAGCCGCGGUAAUACGUAGGUGGCAAGCGUUGUCCGGAUUUAUUGGGCGUAAAGCGAGCGCAGGCGGUUUCUUAAGUCUGAUGUGAAAGCCCCCGGCUCAACCGGGGAGGGUCAUUGGAAACUGGGAGAC
rnacentral:rRNA from 1 species